rnacentral:lncRNA from 1 species
AAAAAAAAGUGUUUCAGCACAUUUUCUGAGUUAUUGUCUGAAUGUCUGAUUAAGGAAAGGGCUUCCACCUAGUAUUUAAGAUAGAAUCAUCACCUGUGAUUUGAACCGCCCAGGAUAAUCGGGAAGUGCUACCCAGGCAGAAUGCUGCUCCACUGGCAGCCGUUUUGUGGGGUGCUCGCUCCUUCCACCCCCGAACAAGAUACCAUUGGGUAACUCUCUGGCUUCUUAAUGUUCUAAAUGGAACAAUUUGGUACUGGAAAGAAAGAGUGGCCCUGAAGCCUGAUCAAUAUCAGGCCAGUUUUUAUUCUUGGUCCCUGGAGAUGAAUCUGUUUUGUGGAGGUUAGGGAGAGUCAACUGAUUGCAAGCUGAUUUUAGGAGAUGGUUCCCUCUGGGUCAUGAGAUGAAGGAGGCAAGUAGGUUCUGGGAAGGAGACUAAAAACCUAGGAGUCCAUCAGAGACCUCAGAGCUUCUUGUUUUUAAUUUUUUUAAAUAUAACAAACAGCAUGUGCCAGUCAGUGUUCUAAGGGUUUUGUAAAUAUUCAGUCACUUAAUUCUCCUACCAAUUCUUUGAAGCAUUAUUAUUAUUUCUUUCAUUUUAUGGCUAGGAAGCCAAGUCACAGAAGUCAGUGUAGAGGGAGAGCUGGCACUUGAACCCAGGAAGACCAGUUCUCUGCAACUCUGCCCUGUGUCCAUGAAUAUAUUAUAGUUCAUACUUGGAAAUCAAAAUGUUUGAAAAAUGCUUGAACACUACCACCAAAGAGUGUCAAGCCAUUAGCCAAUAUGCAGGGCUUUUUUUCUUUUAUUGGACCUGCAACCUGUGGGUGGGGGUUAGGUCUUAAAGCUUUUGCUUUAAUAUUGGGAAACUGGCUCAAACCCUGGCUGGUCAGGGACAUUGUGACAUCUUUGCACAUCUUCCCACCUCCCUUCUAUGUGUGAAAGCCAUGAAUUUGAGUGCAUGGACCCUAGGCCUGAAGGUAUCAGCAUAAUGUACUUCUUUAUCUCAGUGAUGAUUUCAGAGAUUCGGAGAAACCAAGGUCUAAGCCCAACAGCACUUUGCAUUCCCUGAACUACAGGGAUUGGUUCAUAUAGGCUCGGUCUUGCAAAGUGCAGGGUUUUGUUUAAUAGGUGGAGAAGAAAAGAGCUAAAGAGCUUUCUUUUGCCUCUUGCCUACCAUGACCUUCUCGAACCAUGAAUCUCU